ensembl:lncRNA
AGUCAAUAAAGCAGAAAUAGAUGUUUUUCUGGAAUUCUCUUGCUUUUUCGAUGAUCCAGCGGAUGUUGGCAAUUACACAUGUUAAUAAACUUCUGUUUGUUUUUGUCUUUUAACUGUCUUUUGUUACAGGCUUCCCUGGUGGCUCAGAUGGUAAAGCAUCUGCCUGCAAUGUGGGAGAUGAGGGUUCAAUACCUGGGUUGGGAAGAUCCCCUGAAGAAAGAAAACCUGCUCAGUACUCUUGCCUGGAAAAUUCCAUGGAUGGAGGAGUCUGAAACCAAGUCUGGUUACCAUAAAGGGAAGAGGCUGUUUUGGAAUGAUGCUGCAUAGCCCGUAGAUACUGUAGGAAACCACGAGAGCAAUCUGCAUAGAAAACGGGGAUGUUGCUAAGAGAGUCUGAGCCCCGGCAUCAGGUCAGAGCCCAGUCCAGACAUCCCUGCUGCCUCUGCUGGGUCCUGCAUGGAAAUCACUGCCACCAUGGACCAUCAGCGCAGCCACUGCCUUCGCUUCCUCAUGGCACCCACUCUAUGCAAAUCCAGGAACAAAGGCAUUCAACUAGAGGAGCCCACAGCUUUGCUGUUGGGUUGAAGAGGUCAAGAGGAGGAGGUUUUGUUGAGGAGGUCAUGAGGAGGACCUCCAGCUGGGAGGUAAGAAAUGCUGGGUUUUCAACCAAUCAACUGAAUAUAAUUAC